CAGGCUUAACACAUGCAAGUCGAGGGGCAGCAUGGUCUUAGCUUGCUAAGGCCGAUGGCGACCGGCGCACGGGUGAGUAACACGUAUCCAACCUGCCGUCUACUCUUGGACAGCCUUCUGAAAGGAAGAUUAAUACAAGAUGGCAUCAUGAGUCCACAUGUUCACAUGAUUAAAGGUAUUCCGGUAGACGAUGGGGAUGCGUUCCAUUAGAUAGUAGGCGGGGUAACGGCCCACCUAGUCUUCGAUGGAUAGGGGUUCUGAGAGGAAGGUCCCCCACAUUGGAACUGAGACACGGUCCAAACUCCUACGGGAGGCAGCAGUGAGGAAUAUUGGUCAAUGGGCGAGAGCCUGAACCAGCCAAGUAGCGUGAAGGAUGACUGCCCUAUGGGUUGUAAACUUCUUUUAUAAAGGAAUAAAGUCGGGUAUGCAUACCCGUUUGCAUGUACUUUAUGAAUAAGGAUCGGCUAACUCCGUGCCAGCAGCCGCGGUAAUACGGAGGAUCCGAGCGUUAUCCGGAUUUAUUGGGUUUAAAGGGAGCGUAGAUGGAUGUUUAAGUCAGUUGUGAAAGUUUGCGGCUCAACCGUAAAAUUGCAGUUGAUACUGGAUAUCUUGAGUGCAGUUGAGGCAGGCGGAAUUCGUGGUGUAGCGGUGAAAUGCUUAGAUAUCACGAAGAACUCCGAUUGCGAAGGCAGCCUGCUAAGCUGCAACUGACAUUGAGGCUCGAAAGUGUGGGUAUCAAACAGGAUUAGAUACCCUGGUAGUCCACACGGUAAACGAUGAAUACUCGCUGUUUGCGAUAUACUGCAAGCGGCCAAGCGAAAGCGUUAAGUAUUCCACCUGGGGAGUACGCCGGCAACGGUGAAACUCAAAGGAAUUGACGGGGGCCCGCACAAGCGGAGGAACAUGUGGUUUAAUUCGAUGAUACGCGAGGAACCUUACCCGGGCUUAAAUUGCAGAUGAAUUACGGUGAAAGCCGUAAGCCGCAAGGCAUCUGUGAAGGUGCUGCAUGGUUGUCGUCAGCUCGUGCCGUGAGGUGUCGGCUUAAGUGCCAUAACGAGCGCAACCCUUGUUGUCAGUUACUAACAGGUUCCGCUGAGGACUCUGACAAGACUGCCAUCGUAAGAUGUGAGGAAGGUGGGGAUGACGUCAAAUCAGCACGGCCCUUACGUCCGGGGCUACACACGUGUUACAAUGGGGGGUACAGAGGGCCGCUACCACGCGAGUGGAUGCCAAUCCCCAAAACCUCUCUCAGUUCGGACUGGAGUCUGCAACCCGACUCCACGAAGCUGGAUUCGCUAGUAAUCGCGCAUCAGCCACGGCGCGGUGAAUACGUUCCCGGGCCUUGUACACACCGCCCGUCAAGCCAUGGGAGCCGGGGGUACCUGAAGUGCGUAACCGCGAGGAGCGCCCUAGGGUAAAACUGGUGACUGGGGC
rnacentral:rRNA from 1 species